rnacentral:lncRNA from 1 species
CCGGUUUAAGCACAUCACUCCCAUUGUUUUGGGUUCCGGUUUUAGCACAUCACUCCCAUUGUUUUGGAUUUCUGGUUUAGCAGGUCACUCCCAUUGUUUUUGGUUCUGGUUUAAGCACAUCACUCCCGUUGUUUAGGGUUCUGGUUUUAGCACCUCACUCCCAUUGUUUGGGUUUCUGGUUUUGCAGGUCACUCCCAUUGUUUUGGGUUCCAGUUUAAGCACAUCACUCCCAUUGUUUUCGUUUCCGGUUUUAGCACGUCACUCCCAUUGUUUUGGGUUCCAGUUUUAGCAAGUCACUCCCAUUGUUUUGGGUUUCUGGUUUAGCAUGUCACUCCCAUUGUUUUGGGUUUCCAGUUUAGCAUGUCACUCAUAGGUUAUGGUGGCCUUAUGGUUGCACAUUUUUUUUAAUCUCUUGUCAUUCCAGUUGAAGAGAUACCAUUUGACAUUUUAGAGAUGGCUGCAUGCAAACUCUUGAAACAUUUGACUUGUCCAAAUGUUCCAUUGGUCCCUGUUCAUCCCGCCCUGCAGCUCUCCUUGACUGAUUCUGCCCUUUGUGGUUUGCAGUCCUGUUUCUCUACAGCUUGGACCCCUUCAAUCUUUCCAUCAUAGGUUUAACUCUCUGUUGAAUUCUUAUUUGUAGCUACGCAAAUGUUACCUUAAGCUAAAAAAAUUCAAAGUGAAAGCCACAUCCUCCUCUCUUCCCUUAUGUGUAUGGUAUUACUACCAUGCAGCCAGUGACCCAAAAUGGGAUUUUUUCUGGGCUUUUCUUGCUUAGAUUCAGGCUCAUCUGGUGUCAAGCCUUGUUACUUUUGUUUCCUUGUUCUUUUAUUUUUAAUUUUUUUUCUUUUGAGACAGAGUUUCACUCUUGUUGCCCAGGCUAGAGUGCAGUGGUGUGAUCCCGGCUCACUGCAGCCUCCACCUCCCGGGUUCAAGCAAUUCUCCUGCCUCAGCUCCUGAGUAGCUGGUAUUACAGGCAUUUGCCACCACGCCUGGCUAAUUUUGUAUUUUUAGUAGAGAUGGGGUUUCUCUGUUUUGAUCAGGGUGGUCUCGAGCUCCCGACCUCAGGUGAUCUGCCCACCUCGGCCUCCCAAAGUGCUGGGAUUACAGGCCUGAGCCACCGUGCCUGGCCUGCUUGUUGUUUUCAUCUCAUCCUGAUUUCUGAAUACAGGAGAGGAGCUGAGUUGGUGUUCACUAACAAGCACAGAAGCUUUGUUACAUUUACAGUGUCAUUCUUGGCAAAACCUGAAUGGUAUGUUUGUGGGGUGAUGAGGUUCAGUCCCCUGUGACCUGUGCAUCUGGCCAACACUGUGGUGACAUCCUUAGGAAUCCAUGGGGAGAGACAAAGCAUUCAGGAGUUAGUGGGUCACGUUUGACAAGGGCCAAUAAAGAAAUAUGCAAAGACAAAAAACAAGAAGAACAUUAUCAUAUUUUAUACCUUUUGUUUAUAUAAAUUUAUGUCAAUGAUUCUAGCUUAUGUUAAUAUACAAUGUAUACAAUAUGCUAACAUAUACAAUAUAUGUUUAUAGUUUAAACAUUUCUGUCAUGUUUUCAGAUUCUUUAAAGAUUACAUUACACUUCCUAUUUCAGAUAGCUGUUUAAAAUGAGUAAGGAAAAACGGAUGUGUGCAUCAGUUCUAACUGUUUAUGGACUAAAACUAGUUGAUUUCUUGGUUAAGAACAAAAAGUGACAACCUAAUUAACUGAAAAUUUUAAGUAGGCAAUUAUGGUUUUAGCUUUAAUGUAAAAUAUUAACUAUGCUCCAUUCUUGCAUUUUUAACCUAAUACUCAAUAUAAAUCGCCACAUGCCAUGUUUCAGAUCAAGGUUCUACUUGUGAUCUCUCAUGAGUUUUUCAAGGUUUUAAUUAUCUGAGAUGUAACAAUGUACCCAUAACCUUACUGGCUUAAACCAGGAAUUUAUUCUUUUUACAUGUCACAAUUUUCUGGGUCAAGACACUGGACAGAGCGGUGUGGGUUGGUUGCUUCAUGAUGUCCCUGGUCUCAUCUGGAAGGACUCUAGUGGCUGGAGAUGUGAAGCAGGCACCCAGAAGGACUCUAGUGGCUGGGGACAUGGAGCAGGCACCCAGCCCUCUCUUUGUGGCCAGCACGGACUUCCUUCCAGUCUGGUAGCAUCAGGUAGUCAGGUUUGUCUGGCUUCUCCCAGGGUGUGUGUCCAAGAGGCCCAGGCAGAAGCUGUAAGGUCUCUCAUGAUCAUCCCUCAGAAGUCCCAGAGCAUCUCUCCUGCCACACUGUCCAGUUGUACUCAUCACUGAGACCAGCCAUGAUUCAAGGGGGAAAGGUGAUUAGAUUCCACCUCUUGAUGAGAAGCAUAGUAGGAACCUGCAGCAGUCUUUAAUAAACCACAGCUUGUCCUCUGGCCACAAACUAUUAACGUUUCUCCCACAUGCAAAUUAUGCUUUGCCCCUCUCAAGAGCCCCAGAAUGGUUUUCCUUAUGGCACUGGCUAGUAGCCCAACUGAAUCCUGAAUCAGGUUGUGGUGGCUUGUCAUCUGCACCCACACACACUCAGCUGCAGUGAGGACUGAAUCAGGUUGUGGUGGCCUGUCAUCUGACCCCCCACACACAGCCACAGUGGGGACUGAAUCAGGUUGUUGUGAGCUAUCAUCUGAGCCCACAAACUUAGCCGCAGUGAGGGGACUGCUGUGAAAACAGUCGACAUUUCCCUUUAGAAGCUUUGGUGGGAGGCAAGAGGGAAGUGCUGCCCUGCAGGCCCCGUCUAACAGUUGGUCAUUCCCAUGGGGCGCCUGUUACAGUUCUGUGAUUAGUGCCCAGUCCUGGUCCCUGAAAACGGCGCCCAGUCCUGGUCCCUGAGAAUGGUGUUUGUGUCCUUUUACUCCUCCCUCUGGGCUUUUGUCAUUCUCCAUGUUCUUUUUCCUUCAGUGCCUGGGUUGCCGUUGACCAGCUUUCCCUGCCUUUUUCUUAUGGUCAAUAGGGUAUUCAAUGGCUUCUUUUUCAUUUUUUUUCCUUUUCUUUUCUUUUCUUUUUUUUUACUUUGGCCUUUUGAGACAAGAAAUUAUUUCUUUAUAUUUUCUCUAAAUUCUGUUUGAAAACUGAACCUUCUUCUUUAGAUCAUGUCCCUCUCCUGUCAUAUUUAUUCAGUGACAGUUAGGGGAGGCUGGUAGCACUUUCCAUGUUCUUCCCAGAUGUCUCCUUAGGCAGAUCCCUGAGAUGGUGCAGUGCCCUUUCAGUUUCCAUGUUGUGGCCAUAGUUUUCCCACAGUCCCUCAGCAAGUAACUCUCAGACCUUUUCUCCAGUUUCCAAUGACAUUUUCUCACCGUCCUUCAGGCCCUGACCAAGAGUCUUGAUGCCCUUCCAGGUUGCAUGAAUGGUCUCCUUGAGGCCCAGUUACAGGUCAGCCUCACAGUCGUGUCACAUAUUGUAGCUUCUGAUUACCACAGCAGCUCAUUUCCAGCUGCCAUAUUCUGUUCCAGUUAUCUAUUCUGAAGUAAAACAACUCAUUAUUACUUGUUUUUUGGCUUAGAGAGUCUUGGUGGCCAGCUCAUCUCACACACAGUUGCAGCCAAGCUGGAUUGUGUGAAAGCACAGUGGGGUGGUGUGCAGGGUGGCUCACUAGUGGUUGGGAGUGGAUGUUGCUGGAGGCUCACUAGUUGUUGGGAGUCGGUGUUGCUGGAGGCUCAGUGGGGGAUGUCAAUGCGUGUAGCUAGUCAUGGACUGGCCUUGUGGUUUCCAUCAUGAGGUCUCAGGGGAGUGGGAUUUCCUGCCUGGUGACUGGCUUUCUCCUGGGUAAGUGUUCUGUUUUCUCAGCCUGGCUUCUGAAGUCCCCAAAUACCAGCUUUGUCACCUUCUGUUGGCCAAAUAAGUCAGUAGUCUGGUCAAGGUUUAAGGGGAAUUGGUUCUCACAGAGAGAGGAGCAGGAAAGAAUUUGUCACCUUUAGUCUACCAGAAAUGAGAUUUUUAUAACAAGUUUAUUCCAAAUACAUUCCAGUUCCCCUUGUGAAUACUUUUUUGACUCACAGGGUAUUUCAAAGUUUAUUACUUGGUUUUCAGACAUUUGAGGCUUUUCUGGAUAUCAAUUUGUUGUUGGUUUCUAAUUUAAUUUCAAGUGUUCAGACAACAUCCUUUGUAUACUAUUUCAGGCUUGAACCUUUUCUCAAUCCAUCGACAUACAGUCUAUCUUGGCACUGCCAAGUACCAUUUGGGUCAGGAUUUUGUCAUUUAGAUCCGUAUUUUUCCUAUAUUUUUAUCUGGUUGUUCCGUCAGUUACUGAGAGAGCAGUAUUAAUUCACCAGCUAUAAUUUUGGAUUGUCAAUUUCCUGCUUUUGUUCUGUUGUUUUUGAUUCACAUACUUUGAGGUUCUGUGUGUGUGUGUGUAGUUUGUGUGCACUUUGAGGCACAAUUUAUAAUUGUAACAUCAUCCUCUCUGAUUCUUUUAUUUUUAUUAAAUUACCCUGUUUAUUUCUGGUGAUAUAUUUUGUUCUGAAGCCUCUUUCAUCUAGUGUUAACAUCUCUGUUGAAGCUUUUUAUGAUUAGUGUCUGGAUAGCAUAUUUUUAUGUUUAGCAUCUGCAUAGCAUAUUUUUUCUCAUACUUUGUGUCUUUGUGUUUAAAUUGUGUCUCUGUGGAUGCCAUAUUGUUGGGUCUUGCCUUCCUCUCAGGUCUGGCAGUCUCUGUCUUAAGUAGAGUAUUUGUCCACUUACAUUGUAACUAAUCAUUGCUAAGGUUGGAUUUAGGUCUGCCAUUUUUCUACUUAUUUUCUAUUUGUUUGUUUAUUUUUUUUAAGACAGGGUCUUGUUCUGUCACCCAGUCUGUAGUGCAAUGGUGCAAUCUUGGCUCACUGCAACCUCUGCCUCCCAGGCCCAACCAAUCCUCACUUGAGCCCCCUGAGUAGCUGGGACUACAAGUGCAUGGCACCACACCUGGCUAAUUUUUAUAUUUUUGUAGAGAUAGGGUUUUGCCAUGUUGCACAGGCUGGUCUUGAACUACUGAGCUCAAGCAAUCUACCCACCUUGGCCUCCCAAAGUGUUCAGAUUACAGGCAUGAGCCACCAUGCCUGGCCUUCGUCUGUCUUUUGAUCUUCUAUAUAUUCUUUCCUAACUUCUUUUGGGUUAAAUAUUUCUAAAUAUUCCAGUUUGAUUAAUCUUUUGGCUUUUGGAAAUAAUUUUUUAUAGGCUGGGCAUGUUGGCUUAUGCUCAUAAUCUCAGCUCUGUGUGAGUCCAAGGGAGGUGGAUUGCUUGAACCCAGGAGUUUGAGACCAGCCUGGGCAACAUGGCAAAACCCUCUCUACAAAAAACCAAACCAAAAUUUAGCCUGACAUCUUGGUGUGCACCUGUAGUCCUAACUAUUUGGGAGGCUGAGGUGGGAGGGUUGCUUGAGCCUGGGAGGUUGAGGCUGCAAUGAGCUGUGAUCAUGCCAUUCCACUCCUGCCAGGGCAACAGAGUAAGACCGUGUGUCAAAAAAGAUCAUUUUUUAUAAAUAAUUUAUAAUUUCGAAUUUUGGUAACAAACACAUACCUUAAAAUUUACCAUCAUAACCAGUUGUAAGUAUACAGUUUUGUAGAGUUAAGAAUAUUUACAUUGUUGUGUAGCAGAUUUCUAGAUUUUUUUUUAUCUUAGAAAACUCUAUACCCAUUCAACAACUAUUAAUUUCCCCUUCCUUCCACCUCCUGGCAAGUACUAUUCUACUUUGUGUUUCUAAAAAUUUGGCUUAUAUACCUAGGGUUAUAUAAUAUUUGUUUUUUAAGUAGGUUCCAUGUUAUGUGCAGAUGUGUCAGGAUUUUCUUCCUUUCUAUGGCUGAAUAAUAUUUCUUCAUAUAUAUAUAUUUUCUCUAUAUAUAUAUAUAUGUAUAUUCUUUUGUUUAUCCAUCUAUUCCUGGAUGGACGUUUUGGUUUCUUCCACCUCGUGGCUAUGUAAUGCUCCUGUGAACACAGGUGUACACAUAUCUGUUUGAGGUCCUGCUACUAGUUAUUCUGUCUCUGUAGAAGUUGGAUGGCUGGAUCAUAUGGUCAUUUUAUUUUAUUUUUUUGAGGAGCCAGUUAAUAUUUCCACCAACAGUGUUCAAGUGUUUCAGUUUCACCUGCACUUGUUACUUUCUGUUGGGUUUGAAGUGAUGUCCCAUUGUGGUUUCUAUUUGCAUUUCUCUAAUGAUUAGUGAUGUUACACAUCUUCUCAUAUAUCUCAUGUAUCUGUUGGCUAUUUGUAUAUCAUCUUUGCAUCUUUGGAUGAAUGUUCUUUGUCCAUUUUUUAAUCACUUUAUUUUGUUGUGUUGUAGCUGGGUUUUUUGGUCAUGAGCAUUCAUUUAUCUCACAGUUCAUUCUUGUUACUUGGGCCAGGGUCAUGAUCAUUCAUUAUCUCUCAGUUCAUCCUCAUUACGUUGGGCAAACAGUCAUGCUGCAGGGUAUAGAUUAUGUUAUUCUGUUACUUUCAGGUAGAAUUCGGGUCUAGGUUCUAAUUGUUUCUAAGUUUAGAUUCUGAAUGAGAAUCAGCAGAGGUAGACCACUGCUGCUGAGGCCUGGGGAUUGCUGGGAAAAAGGCAGGAAACAGAUAUUGACCUGACCAUGGAGGGUUUAUGUUUCACGGCUCCCAUCUGGGUACCCAAGGAACCUACAUGUAGCUCGUGUGUGGAGAGCCUACAUUGCCCACUCAAAGCAAUUGAGGAUGGAACAGUCUUGGGGCUGGAGCUCAUUAUUUGGAAUGAUAACCACAUCUGCACAGAGAGGACCUGAUAAGAUGUUGUCCUUCCAUGUAUAUCUGGGAAUCCUGUGUAGGGUCUCUCUGUAAGGACAGGGGCAGUGUUGGCUCCUUGGCCUCUAGUUAGCUUCACAAGUAGUCUAGUAAAGGCUUUGCCAACUUGUCACCAUCUGUGGAUAUUCUGGUCAGCUCUUGUUUUCACCCUACUGACUUCUUCAGACACUAGGCUUUUGCUUUAGACCAUUCAUGGUUUUCUUCCUCUUCAAAUCAGUAAUCAAUAAAUCGCCUUCAAGUCAAUAAAUUUCCACUCCUUUAGGAAACCCUGAUCUUCUGGUCACACCAAGGUUUAAUUAACUGGUUUGAUUGUUUUUCUGUUUUCUUGGAUUUUUUUUCCUUCUUCCUGGGGGUUUCUAGUAAUUCUAGUUUGAUGUCUCACUUUCUCCAUUUUUUAUUUCUUAGUUUUCUUCUGUGAUUAUUUUCACUGCAGCUGCAGGGCCUAAUCCUGGGUUGGCAGAGAACUAGCACUUACUCUGCCCUAAUUGGAAUCCAGGAGAGAUAGCAGGUUCCCUAGUGUGAAAAUGUGUUUGCUCCUCUCUGCUUCUGGUAGUCUCUCUGUAGGAGUUCUUUACGCAUUCUGAAUGUUCACUUCUUAUGAGAUACAUGAUGUGCAACUAUAGGUUGAAUGUCUCUGAUCCAAAAAUCUGAAAUCCCAAAUGCUCCAAAGUCUGAAACUUUUUGAGUGCCAACAUGACACUCAAAGGAAAUGCUUAUUGGAGCAUCUCAGACUCAGGUGUUUGAAUUUGAGAUCCUCAACCAGUAAGAAUAGUGCAAAUAUUACAAAAUCUGAAACACAUCCCAAGCAUUUCAAAUAAGGGACACUCAACUGGUAUUUUUUUUAAUUUUACAGUUUGCCUUUUACCCUGUUGGUUGUGACCUUUGAGGUACAGAAGUUUUUAGGUUUGAUAUAUUUUUGCUUUUACUGCCUGAGCUUUUAAUGUCAUAUCCUAAAAAUUAUUGACAAAUUCAUCGUCAUAAAGCAUUUUCCAAAUUUGUUUUCCCUAGGAGUUUGAUAGUUCUAGUUUUACAUUUAGGUUUAUAAUUCACUUUGAAUUGAUUUUAACGUGGUGUAAGGUAAGAGUCCAACUUCAUUGUUUUGCAUGUAGUUAUACAAUUUUCCCAUCAUCACUUGUUGAAGAAACUGUGCUUUUCCAUUGAGUGGUCUUGGCAUCCUUCUGGAAGAUCAUCGGACCAUAUAUGCCAGGGUUGGUUUCUGAGGUCUCUGUUGUGUUGGUCCAUAAGUGUGUCAAGAGUGUCUUUAUGCCAUGACCACAUUUUUUCUUUUUGGCUUAUUGCAGUUUUGUAAUUGCUUUGAGACGUUUAAUUUUGUUCUGUUUCAAGAUUGAUUUGCCUAUUCAUGGGCCCUGGAGAUUCCAUAUGAGUUUUAGGAUAGGUUUUUCUGUUUAUCAAAAAUGUCAUUGGAAUCUUUAUAAGGAUUGUAUUGAAUCUAGGUCACUUCGAGUAGUGUUGACAUCAUUCCAAGAUGAAAUCAUCUAAUUUGCAAACCCAGCUUUUCUUUUCAUUUAUUUGUGUUUAAUUUCUUUUAACAGUGUUUUGUAGUUUUCUGUGUUCAAAUCUUUUGCCCUCUUGGUUAAGCUUAUUUCUAAUUUUUAUAAUGCUGUUGUAAAUAUAAUUUUUUUUUUUUGAGAUGGAGUCUUGCUCUGUCUCCCAGGCUGGAGUGCAGUGGCACUAUCUCAGGUCACUGCAACCUGCACCUUCCUUAUUCAAGCGAUUCUCCAACCUCAGCCUCUCAAGUACCUGGGAUCACAGGUGCGCGCCACCAUGCCCAGCUAACUUUUUGGUAUUUUUAGUAGAGACAGUGUUUCUCCAUGUUGACCAGGCUAUUCUUGAACUUGUGACCUCAGGUGAUCUGCCCACCUCGGCCUCCCAAACUGCUGGGAUUGCAGGCAUGAACCACUGCACCCAGCCAAAUGUCAUUCUUUUUAAAAAUUUCUUUUCUUUUGUUUUCUCUUUCUUUUCUUUUCUUUCUCUCUCUUUCUUUCC